AGCCUGAUGCAGCCAUGCCGCGUGUGUGAAGAAGGCCUUCGGGUUGUAAAGCACUUUCAGUCGUGAGGAAGGUGGUAGUGUUAAUAGCACUAUCAUUUGACGUUAGCGACAGAAGAAGCACCGGCUAACUCCGUGCCAGCAGCCGCGGUAAUACGGAGGGUGCGAGCGUUAAUCGGAAUUACUGGGCGUAAAGCGCAUGCAGGUGGUUUGUUAAGUCAGAUGUGAAAGCCCGGGGCUCAACCUCGGAAUAGCAUUUGAAACUGGCAGACUAGAGUACUGUAGAGGGGGGUAGAAUUUCAGGUGUAGCGGUGAAAUGCGUAGAGAUCUGAAGGAAUACCGGUGGCGAAGGCGGCCCCCUGGACAGAUACUGACACUCAGAUGCGAAAGCGUGGGGAGCAAACAGGAUUAGAUACCCUGGUAGUCCACGCCGUAAACGAUGUCUUACUUGUAGUUUGUGGCCUUGAGCCGUGGCUUUCGGAGCUAACGCGUUAAGUAGACCGCCUGGG
rnacentral:rRNA from 1 species